AUAAUACUAACGGCGUAAAGCACGACUAAUAAAAUGUCUAAGUAUUAGGAACGAAACUAAACUGGGCUGUAAAAAGCCAUAAGUAACACUAACUACACCUAAUAACAAACAACUCCCACUCGUGAAAGUUAGGGUACAAACUAAGAUUAGAUACCUUACUAUGCCUAACCAUAACACAACAAUUAAAUCACCCAUUGUUCGCCAAAUAACUACGAGUAAAAACUUAAAAUUUAAAAGACUUGACGGUACCUCAAAACAACCUAGAGGAGCCUGUCUAAUAACCGAUACCCCACGAUCAACCCCACCCACUCUAGCCUACAGUCUAUAUACCGCCGUCGCCAGCCUACCUUGUGAAAGAAACAAAGUGAGCCCAAUAGCUAUACACUAAUACGACAGGUCGAGGUGUAACUAAUGAGAGGGCCCAAGAUGGGCUACAUUUUCUAAUACAGAAAACACGAACUAUCUAUGAAAUAAGAAACUGAAGGCGGAUUUAGCAGUAUAGUGGGAGCAACAUACCCAAUCGAAACUAAUGCAAUGAGGUGCGUACACACCGCCCGUCAUCCCUGUAACCAACUAAAAACCAUACAUAAA
rnacentral:rRNA from 1 species